AAUCAACGCUGGCGGCGUGCCUCAGACAUGCAAGUCGAACGCGAAAGUCCCCUUCGGGGGACAAGUAGAGUGGCGCACGGGUGAGUAACACGUAGGUAAUCUACCUUUGGAUGGGGAAUAACAACCGGAAACGGUUGCUAAUACCGCAUAAUGCAGCGGCACCUAAUGGUGACAGUUGUUAAAGCGGGGAUCGAAAGACCUCGCGUCUGAAGAGGAGCCUGCGGCGGAUUAGCUUAGNGGUAAGGUAACGGCUUACCAAGGCGACGAUCCGUAGCCGGCCUGAGAGGGGCGGUCGGGCCACACUGACACUGACAUACGGGUCAGACUCCUA
rnacentral:rRNA from 1 species